UCCUAAGAGGAUCAGAGCAGAAAGACACCAAAGCAAUAGUAGGAGGUUACUGAAAAAUGCAUCUCAUACAUAGGGAUGCAUCACUGCGUGGGUAUCUUAGCUAAAAAAAAAAAAAAAAAGUGACACAAGAAAAUGGCACAUGAUUGUAAGAGAUUGAAAUAAGAAGUAAAAAAAAAAUCCAUAACCAAAAUUGUUUGCACCCAGACCAUAAAAUGUUCAAAAUAAAGUUCAUUAAAUCAACUCUAGUGUAUUGUAAAUAAAAUAGAUUUGGUGAAACUAUACAAUUGAAAGUGAAAUAAAGUAUAGUAUGUACCACUUCAUCAAUGUAUGGCCCCUUCGUCUUGGAUCCAGUCCAUAAAAGCUUUAGUUGGACAAACAGCUGGAGGCUGCUGGUUUGUCUUUGCUGCUGAAGCCCCUCCAACUCCAAGAUAGUAACUACGAGCUGGUUCUGCUGUGCGUCAUAAUACACAGAAUAGUGGAGCCAUCCUUGAAUCUUCUGUAGGCGGUAGAUAGUGAGACAGUGUUAAAGAAAUUCAAUGCUGAUUUUAAAUAAAUGCAGUGAUCAACCAAGUGUCUGAAAAUGCUGUGAAAUGUGUAAAAAAAGAUUC